rnacentral:rRNA from 1 species
CCCGGGCCUUGUACACACCGCCCGUCACACCACGAAAGUUGGCAAUACCCGAAGCCGGUGGCCUAACCCGCAAGGAGGCAGCCGACCACGGUAGGGUCAGCGACUGGGGUG